UGAUUAUAGAGGAGGAGUUUUGUCAUUGAUGGGAACGAACGUCAUAUUUAUGAUAUUGUGGCUGCAUCACUUCUGUUUGGCAGAGGUACAAGAGAACCAGUAACACAGAUAAAAGAUGCAGUUCCUAAGAGAUCCAAAGUCAGCAGCACCUAAGACUAUACUGAUCAUGACUUUGAAUUAUCAGCAUCCAAAACAAUGCAAAUCAAAUACAGGUUUUGUCUGUACAUCUGGCAAUCUUGGGGCAAUACUGGAUGGUUUUAACUAAGAACUGAUCCAGCAUGAAGACCAGCCAUGUGCCUCACCUGUCAUGACAUUAUUAAAGGUAAGUGUCCCUAUAAGCAAAGAAUCUGACAAAGCAAAACCUUCAUCUUAAAAGAUUUACAUUUAAUACUUAUUUGAUUGGUAGUUUUAAUUAUUUUUUUUCUUCUACGCAGCCUUUUAUUUAGCAUUUCU